UACGAGGGGUCCUAGCGUUGUUCGGAAUCAUUGGGCGUAAAGCGGGUGUAGGUGGAUUUUUAAGUCAGAAGUGAAAGCCCCGGGCUUAACCCGGGAAGUGCUUUUGAUACUGAAGAUCUUGAGUGUGGGAGAGGAUAGUGGAAUUCCUGGUGUAGUGGUGAAAUACGUAGAUAUCAGGAGGAACAUCGGUGGGGAAGCCGGCUGUCUGGCCCAACACUGACACUCAGACCCGAAAGCGUGGGGAUCAAACAGG
rnacentral:misc_RNA from 1 species